GAUGAACGCUGGCGGCGUGCCUAAUACAUGCAAGUCGAGCGAACGGACGAGAAGCUUGCUUCUCUGAUGUUAGCGGCGGACGGGUGAGUUACACGUGGAUAACCUACCUAUAAGACUGGGAUAACUUCGGGAAACCGUAUCUAAUACCGGAUAAUAUUUUGAACCGCAUGGUUCAAAAGUGAAAGACGGUCUUGCUGUCACUUAUAGAUGGAUCCGCGCUGCAUUAGCUAGUUGGUAAGGUAACGGCUUACCAAGGCAACGAUGCAUAGCCGACCUGAGAGGGUGAUCGGCCACACUGGAACUGAGACACGGUCCAGACUCCUACGGGAGGCAGCAGUAGGGAAUCUUCCGCAAUGGGCGAAAGCCUGACGGAGCAACGCCGCGUGAGUGAUGAAGGUCUUCGGAUCGUAAAACUCUGUUAUUAGGGAAGAACAUAUGUGUAAGUAACUGUGCACAUCUUGACGGUACCUAAUCAGAAAGCCACGGCUAACUACGUG
rnacentral:rRNA from 1 species